rnacentral:rRNA from 1 species
CAGUAGCCGGGGAACACGUAGGGUGCAAGCGUUAAUCGGAAUUACUGGGCGUAAAGCGUGCGCAGGCGGUUAUAUAAGACAGAUGUGAAAUCCCCGGGCUCAACCUGGGAACUGCAUUUGUGACUGUAUAGCUAGAGUACGGCAGAGGGGGAUGGAAUUCCGCGUGUAGCAGUGAAAUGCGUAGAUAUGCGGAGGAACACCGAUGGCGAAGGCAAUCCCCUGGGCCUGUACUGACGCUCAUGCACGAAAGCGUGGGGAGCAAACAGGAUUAGAUACCCCAGUAGUCCCUGUCUCUUAUACA